GGGUAGUUGGCGGAGUGGUCAAUCGCAGCUGACUGUAAAUCAGCCGACUUCGGUCUUCGGGGGUUCGAAUCCCUCACUGCCCACCG
rnacentral:tRNA from 1 species